UGGGGAAUUUUGGACAAUGGGCGCAAGCCUGAUCCAGCAAUGCCGCGUGCAGGAUGAAGGCCUUCGGGUUGUAAACUGCUUUUGUACGGAGCGAAAAGGUCUGCCCUAAUACGGUGGGCUCAUGACGGUACCGUAAGAAUAAGCACCGGCUAACUACGUGCCAGCAGCCGCGGUAAUACGUAGGGUGCGAGCGUUAAUCGGAAUUACUGGGCGUAAAGCGUGCGCAGGCGGUUAUAUAAGACAGAUGUGAAAUCCCCGGGCUCAACCUGGGACCUGCAUUUUAGACUGUAAAGCUAGAGUACGGUAAAGGGGAAUGGAAUUCCACGUGUAGCAGUGAAAUGCGUAGAUAUGCGGAGGAACACCAAUGGCGAAGGCAAUCCCCUGGACCUGUACUGACGCUCAUGCACGAAAGCGUGGGGAGCAAACA
rnacentral:rRNA from 1 species